rnacentral:rRNA from 1 species
CCUACGGGAGGCAGCAGUGGGGGGUAUUGCACAAUGGGCGGAAGCCUGAUGCAGCGACGUCGCGUGAGGGAUGGAGGCCUUCGGGUUGUGAACCUCUUUCUCCGGUGGUGAAGGCCCUGUCCGUUGCGGCGGGGUUGACGGUAGCCGGGUAUGAAGCGCCGGCUAACUACGUGCCAGCAGCCGCGGUGAUACGUAGGGCGCGAGCGUUGUCCGGAAUUAUUGGGCGUGAAGGGCUUGUAGGCGGCCGGUCGCGUCCGCCGUGAAAUUCUCCGGCUCAACCGGGGGCUUGCGGUGGGUACGGGCCGGCUGGAGUGCGGUAGGGGAGGCUGGAACUCCUGGUGUAGCGGUGGAAUGCGCAGAUAUCAGGAGGAACACCGGUGGCGAAGGCGGGUCUCUGGGCCGUUACUGACGCUGAGGAGCGAAAGCGUGGGGAGCGAACAGGAUUAGAUACCCUGGUAGUC